rnacentral:rRNA from 1 species
UACAGAGGUCUCAAGCGUUGUUCGGAUUCAUUGGGCGUAAAGAGCGUGUAGGCGGCUUGGUAAGUCCGCUGUGAAAGUCCAGGGCUCAACCCUGGAAAGCCGGUGGAAACUGUCAAGCUUGAGUCCGGAAGAGGCGAGUGGAAUUCCUGGUGUAGCGGUGGAAUGCGCAGAUAUCAGGAGGAACACCAAUGGCGAAGGCAGAUCUCUGGGCCGUAACUGACGCUGAGGAGCGAAAGCAUGGGGAGCGAACAGG